rnacentral:rRNA from 1 species
AUUGAACGCUAGCGGGAUGCCUUACACAUGCAAGUCGAACGAGCGGCGGACGGGUGAGUAAUGUCUGGGAAACUGCCUGAUGGAGGGGGAUAACUACUGGAAACGGUAGCUAAUACCGCAUACUAUCGGAUGUGCCCAGAUGGGAUUAGCUAGUAGGUGGGGUAAAGGCUCACCUAGGCGACGAUCCCUAGCUGGUCUUAGAGGAUGACCAGCCACACGGGGACUGAGACACGGUCCAGACUCCUACGGGAGGCAGCAGUGGGGAAUAUUGCACAAUGGGCGCAAGCCUGAUGCAGCCAUGCCGCGUGUAUGAAGAAGGCCUUCGGGUUGUAAAGUACUUUCAGCGGGGAGGCGUUACCCGCAGAAGAAGCACCGGCUAACUCCGUGCCAGCAGCCGCGGUAAUUC